GACGGAGGAGGCAAGCGUUAUCCGGAAUUAUUGGGCGUAAAGCGUCCGCAGGCGGCUUUUAAGUCUGUUGUCAAAGCCCACAGCUCAACUGUGGAUCGGCAAUGGAAACUGGGAAGCUAGAGUGUGGUAGGGGUAGAGGGAAUUCCCGGUGUAGCGGUGAAAUGCGUAGAUAUCGGGAAGAACACCAGUGGCGAAGGCGGUUCUCUGGGACGGUACUGACGCUGAGACGCGAAAGCGUGGGGAGCGAACAGG
rnacentral:rRNA from 1 species